rnacentral:lncRNA from 1 species
GCACUUAGCACAGAACCUGGCACUUAAAUAUUCUCGAUGUUAAAUGUUAAAGUACUUAUUUACAAUAUUGUUAGUAGCAGAGGUCACAACUAAGUUCCUUUGAGGAAAAAUAGUCUACUACCAGCUUUAAAAGCAAUCCCUCAUUGUUCCCCCAUUGCUCCUGCUUUUCCUUACCCCUUCCUCAACACACACACACACACACACACACACACACACACACAGGCCAAAUACUGGUCACACUGAGGUCACCUCAAGAACACUUACAUUUAGAAGGGCUUUUCGUAAUUUCCAAGCUGUAAAAGUCAGGGAGAGCCCAGCUCUCUGAGAAUCUCAGCAGCAUUGUGUACACUUCUUCACUAUGAAAGAAAAAUUACAAUGCACCAUUAAUGCUUUUCUUGGUAGAAACCACGAGACUAAAUAAGAUGGCUUUCCUGCUUCCCAAGGUGUCUGAGAUGCAGAAGGAGUGAUCACACCUCCAUUCUAUGGAACUUGACUCUAAGGCUGGCUGUGCCGAAAGCUGCAAAGCUCGGAGACAAUGCGAAGCAGGACGAUCUCAGAGGAGAGAGGAAGAGCUCACAUCUGGAUACACUUGAGCACCUUCAGGUUCGAAGGGACCCAGAGAAAGCAGACACAAGAGGAAACAGGAGAAGGAAGAACGGGAGAAUUGUGCUAACCAUCGUGAAAAUGGGAAGUAGAACAGCGGUGGCCCACAGGACACGUGGACCUGUGCAUUGGUUUGAAAGAAGGCAUCCUCAUGAACAUCAGCAGCAGGA